CCACUGCUGAGGAGUCCCAUACCAGGACGAAACGGCCGUUCAGUGC
rnacentral:hammerhead_ribozyme from 1 species